UAGAUUCAGGGUCUUCCUGAAAUAAUGCUUUAAGGUUCUAACUCUUGGAUUGCUACUCUAACUAUCGGCUCAUACAGUAUAAUCGAUUCAUUCGAGACAUUGAUUCUCUUACACUCGGUCACUUGGGUUGGGGUCAUCCUGAGAUAGCUUCCUUUAAAGUUAUACCCUUUCACUACCCUAACCACUGAGUUACACAAUGUUCGGGUUGUAAGAAGGUUUC
rnacentral:lncRNA from 1 species